AUCGCUUCUCAGCCUUUUGGCUAAGAUCAAGUGUAGUAUCUGUUCUUAGUUUAAUAUCUGAUAUGUCCUCUAUCUGAGGACAUUAUAUUAAAUGGAUUUUUGGAGCUGGGAGAUGGAGUAGGAGCUUGCUUUGUCCACUCCACGAAUCGACCCAGUAUUGCAGUACUUCCCGGAAUGCUGUACCUCCU